UGUUCUAUAUUCAGGGCACUCACUACAAACCGGUCAGAAGGAGACAGGAUGUGGAUGUGAUUAACACAUAGCAGAGCCUCUCAGCACCAGAGCGUGGUCCCAGCUGGUAGAGCGCUGUGCACUGAUAAAAAUCAUAAUCAGCAGCAGUUCCUGCGUAAUGAAGCCAACACUGAGCUAUAACCUAAACAAAUUUUCGCAACAUCUGCACUUUGAAGCAUUAGGGGGAAAUCCUCAUGUAGAACAAAGAAGAAGAAAAAAAAAAAGAAGAAAAGAACUGGCUAGAAAUCGAGACUAACAAUGAUGAUGAACAUGUCUUAGAUUCGUGAGACAUUUGUAUCAUUGAUUUGCACGUCCUCGUGAGCUCAUCAUGGCCCUGUUCGGUACUCAGGGCAAGAAUCAGGUUUAGAGAGCUGAAGGUUACUGCACAUUCAAAUAUUACCCAUAAAGCCUGUUGCCAUAGGAACUGUGGAUUCCCAGCACAUGUGUGCUUUAAUCCCUUCAGGCAGUCACACUGCUCGCACACACACACACACACACACACACACACACACACACACACACACACACACACACACACACACACACACACACACACACACACACACACACACACACACACACACACACACACACACACACACACACACCGAUCUACACAGCAAGGGGGCCCCUGUGUGCAUAUUGUCAACAAGCACAUGAAAGUGCUGCCAGUGCAUUUUUUCACAGUUGUGGUUGUUUACAGUUGUGUGUGAUUAUGUGUGUUGG